GAAGCUCAGUGUUGAGGAAACACUGUCACUGUCAUACAUUCCUCAGGGAAGGUCUGAGAUUAGAACCAUCUAUUGUCUUAACAAGGUAUUGCUUGGUUUGAGCAAAUGAGUUACCAUCAACAGGGCCAGAUUAAGAGCCCAGUGGGCCUGGUGCUGACAAUUAUGAUGGACCUAGUUACAAAAUUUUAUUGACCAAAAAUACCAAAACAGUCCUACCUCCUAAGCAUCAUGUAUCUGAUGGAGAUGGUGCUGGAGGGAAACUCAUAGGAUGCAGCUAUGAGAAAACACACACCCACGCUUUC